rnacentral:rRNA from 1 species
AUUGAACGCUGGCGGCAUGCCUUACACAUGCAAGUCGAACGGUAACAGGUCUUCGGAUGCUGACGAGUGGCGAACGGGUGAGUAAUACAUCGGAACGUGCCCGAUCGUGGGGGAUAACGAAGCGAAAGCUUUGCUAAUACCGCAUACGAUCUACGGAUGAAAGCAGGGGACCGCAAGGCCUUGCGCGACCGGAGCGGCCGAUGGCAGAUUAGGUAGUUGGUGGGAUAAAAGCUUACCAAGCCGACGAUCUGUAGCUGGUCUGAGAGGACGACCAGCCACACUGGGACUGAGACACGGCCCAGACUCCUACGGGAGGCAGCAGUGGGGAAUUUUGGACAAAGGGCGAAAGCCUGAUCCAGCCAUGCCGCGUGCAGGAUGAAGGCCUUCGGGUUGUAAACUGCUUUUGUACGGAACGAAAAGACUCUGGUUAAUACCUGGGGUCCAUGACGGUACCGUAAGAAUAAGCACCGGCUAACUACGUG